rnacentral:lncRNA from 1 species
UAAAUUGUUACUGUGCCUUAAUUUAGACUACUGCCUUAUGGUCUUAGUAUUUUUUUUUUCCUNGCCCGCGCCCGGCUGCGACCUGCGGCCGCCGAGGUACCCCGGCCCUGCUUCCGCUCAGCCGGCAGGGAGCGGCCCGGGGAGGGGGCGGAAAGAAGUCACUCCCCUUCUAAAAGGUGGUGGUGUCCCCCUCCGGCUUUCGUGAGCUCCUCAGUGCCCACACCUGAACCCGGCUUACUGAUCCCUGCCCUUGCUUCUCCUUGACUUGGUUUGAAUUGGAGGGGCAAUACAAGCGUUUUAAUUGAAAUAAGCAGCUCAGGAGUAUUUUAUUGGCGCUCCAGAGCACUGUGUGUCUGUCCCGUCCCCUCCGCCCCCAGCAAUAAACGCAGAGUGGGUGAGUGAAAGGAAGGUGCAGUCCACAUUUCAGGAUUUUUCCUGGACCCUUCCUCCAGUCUGCUGUCCAUCCUGUCAUCGCCUAUGAAACUGUAUGCUAAAGUCUGUCAUUUCUUGUGCAUGAAAAAUGAGCUGGGCAGUACAGCCUGUGAAGAGGAUUUGGCACUUGGAAGAAACCCAACACAUAGCAUGAGAAAGUGUUGGGGACAAAUGAUUAAUUCAAAUGGCGAUCAUCUGCCAGUGCCUUUCAGACUUCUCCAUCUUCUCUGCUCUCUGUUGUAAUUUCUUUGGUUGUACCAAGUCCAUUCCACAAGACACUCCUCAGAGCCCCGGCCCGGCCGCCAGAGGGCAGCCGAGCGGCGCCGCCUUCGGGAGCGGGGCCGGCAGGAAACGGGCGGAGCGGGGCUGGCAGGGUCCCGCAGGGAUUGCCAGCAGUGCCGCUUCCCAAAACCUGCCUCGGUGCCCUGAACCUGUCCUUGACCGAGCUACGGCCCUGCCCUGGAACAGCCCUCUGCAGGUGCCAACACUUCGGUUUCCAAGGAAUGCAGUGCGUGUCGGCAAAAAGGGGAUGUUGCUCACGUGCUUGACUGUGGGCAGACACCACUCAGAGGUGGUUAUCUUUUUGUAGAGUGACCAUUAAAAGAGCCUGUAACACUUUGUGGAUUGUGUAAACUAGACAUGCCCACAGUGAGCCAGGAAUCUUGCCUGAAUCCAUGCUUCAUUCGGAAGUGUCCUAAUUAGAGAGCAAUUAGAGCAAGACAGCCAAAAUUAACUCUGGCAUUUGUAUUAUGAGUAAUCAUGUCACUUUCUGAUUAAGACACCAGUGAAACUUCUCAGAGAAACUUAGAGAGCAAGGAAUAAAUAUUUGAGUAGUUCAGAUAUCA